rnacentral:lncRNA from 1 species
GGUGGACCUUGGUGAAGUCAGUGGAAGGAUUAAGAAUAACUGAUCAAAUCUUUUCUCAUCUAUCGAUUCAAUUAAUUAAAUCUUCUAAAAUUAUUAGGUCCUUAAAAAUGAAAUAGUUAUGAAAAUAGCUAGAUCAUAGCCUCCCAUUAAGUUGGAUGAUAAUGGGUCCAAUAGUUGGAUGAUCAUUGGAUGGUUCAAAGGUUUGGUGCUCAUCUGUUAUUAAAAUUAUCAUUCAUAAUAUGACGGCUUAGUCGAGUCUCU